rnacentral:rRNA from 1 species
UCAUGGACGAGAGUCUGAACCAGCCAAGUAGCGUGAAGGAUGACUGCCCUAUGCCGUUGUAAACUUCUUUUAUACGGGAAUAAAGUGAGGCACGUGUGCCUUUUUGUAUGUACCGUAUGAAUAAGGAUCGGCUAACUCCGUGCCAGCAGCCGCGGUAAUACGGAGGAUCCGAGCGUUAUCCGGAUUUAUUGGGUUUAAAGGGAGCGUAGGCGGACGCUUAAGUCAGUUGUGAAAGUUUGCGGCUCAACCGUAAAAUUGCAGUUGAUACUGGGUGUCUUGAGUACAGUAGAGGCAGGCGGAAUUCGUGGUGUAGCGGUGAAAUGCUUAGAUAUCACGAAGAACUCCGAUUGCGAAGGCAGCCUGCUGGACUGUAACUGACGCUGAUGCUCGAAAGUGUGGGUAUCAAACAGGAUUAGAUACCCUGGUAGUCCAAGGGCGAAUUC